rnacentral:rRNA from 1 species
UACGUAGGGGGCAAGCGUUGUCCGGAAUCAUUGGGCGUAAAGAGCGUGUAGGCGGCCCGAUAAGUCCGCCGUGAAAGCCCAGGGCUCAACCCUGGAUCGCCGGUGGAUACUGUCGGGCUAGAGUUCGGAAGAGGCAAGUGGAAUUCCUGGUGUAGCGGUGAAAUGCGCAGAUAUCAGGAGGAACACCAAUGGCGAAGGCAGCACUCUGGGACGUGACUGACGCUGAGACGCGAAAGCGUGGGUAGCAAACAGG